UCUUCAACUGCUGCUAAGACACCUCUGUCUGAAGUGACUAAAGGUUGCCAUGGUAAUACUAACCACUUGAUACCACCUUCUGUAGUCUUAGACACUGGUGUACCAUCUCCACAUUCCAUGGUUAAAUCAAAUGAUGAACUUCAUUCUCAACCCUGUACUCAUGGAAGCCUACAGUUCAUUCUUAAUUUCAAAUUACAGAACGAAUAUAUUUGCAAAUUGUACAUUCAUUCGUGAUGUAAUAGAAUAGCGUUAGGAAAAUUGUAAAAAGCAACUUAAACAACUAUUUUAUUACAUCCACUUGUACAAAUUCUGAUACAAGAAAAGUAUUUCAGACUUCAGCCUUAACGCAUAUGCAUCUGUGCGACCUCUACCGAACAAAUAAUGAAGAACUUGGGGUGCAGUAUAAACGCAUGCUCAUCUAUAUAUUCUAUUAUUUAAAUUUGCCGAGCACGCGCAUAUCGACGAAAUAUUCGUUCAAUCGAAUUUGAUGCAGCAUCACGAUAUAAUACGACUUUGUAAGAGAAGAAGCACAGAUGCCUGUUUCACGAAAUUUACAGGAGUAUUUUUCACCAAGAUAUUUAUCCUAGCUUAAUUAAAUAAAGAAAAAUUUGAAACUGAGUACUCUUGUUAAUAGGAAUCUUGCAUGGGGUAAUUAGGUAAAAUAAUGAACAAAUUCUUCCUAAUGUCGUCGGAUUAUGAAAGACUACAGAUUUUGUUGCUGUCUUUUAGCUAGAAAAAGAAGUAGGUAAUUAACAAUGCUCUGUACAAAAAUAAUGAUUCUAAUUAAUACUUUGAGUGUCGCGUGUACCACUGGUUGCCCAUCAAAGGCGCACCUAUGAUUAAAAAUGGAAGUAUUCGAAUUUAGAAUACUUUUUUUUCCCAUCAGAUAAACGAUUCUAAUGUGAUUCAUUACAAUAUAAUUGAAAUCAAUAGAUUAACGCUUGUUAAUUAUAAAUAGUAUUCUUAAUCGUUCAACUGUUUUAAAUGCUAAUUAGUAAAGAUAAUGAAAAUAGUCUCAUCACAAAACGACGACAUCAAGUGAAGCAAACAGUGUUUUGAAAGGACCGUUUAAUCACCUCACGAAAUUUCAAGGAUAAUAAUUCGAAGCACAUGCCUUCCGCUAAUGGGAUUCGUGUGUAGGUAUUACAAUCGGAUUAAUCUCACAACACUGAUUUACAUAAUUAUGUACACGUCAUUUAACUGCAUAUAAACGUACAAAAGGGAUUAAGACUAAUCAUCGAAUCGUUGGUAAUCGUCUUGAGAGCGUCUCGUUCUUUAUUAUAUUUUUUGUUUCCUUUGCAGAAACCAACACUGCAUAAUGUCUAUUAAAAAACUCCAGGAAAACGUAUUUUCGACGAUGAUUUAUCGAUGACAGAGCAAAGAUUGUAAAUCGUGAAUCUUUCUUUCUUUCUUUUGUUAAUAUUCAAUUAUCCAAUCAUCUUGAAACAACUUUAAUAAAAUGAUCUGCGAUUCAUUUUGAAAUCUUUCGUUUUCAUUGUGUUAAUCAAUAUUCAUUCAUUUAUUUUUUUUUUAGAUUCAAAAUAAGAUUUUUAAUAAAAUUAUACAAAGAGUUUCAAAAGAGGUAUACUUUAUGGAGAUUAUAAAUUCUUUAUAAGAAAAAAAGAAAACUGUUUUGGUAUUUCGCCUCGUUUUCAAAAUAUAAAUGAUUAAACAUUGCCUGCUCUACUUCCGGGGUGUCCCAUUUAGGCGACUGAGCAAACAGCUGAUUAUGCGACCGCAGAUGCUUGCAUCCACACAAAAGAACAUAUGCAAAUACAUGAACGUACACAUAGCUAACGCUAUGAGAUUAUUUACACUAGCCUUUGAUGCAAAACAGAGAGAAACAAAAGUGAAUGAUUUCUCACUGUUUAAAUAGGGCAGCCCGGAAAUGGAACAUCCUAAAUUGCAUACCGUUGAUUCUUAAUUGGAAUAAAUAAUGAAUAGAUUAGUACACGGUAUUAAUAUUUAAAUUAUGAUUAGCACAAUGAUUCUUUGAAUAAGAAAUAAGGUAAAAUUGUUAGGAAUACGUAUUUAUAUUAAUAAGCAUCGACCGAUUCCUUUGGAUUUUUAACACGGUAAUGGAAUUGUUAGAAAACAGGUACGGACACGUUAAUUCGAUCGAGGACACCUGUAGCCAUUGAAUCGAUAAUCAACUGGCACCUUCGCUAUUCGAUAAAUUAACAAGAUACUAGACGACGCCUCGUUCGAGCGAUCGUAAACGGGUACAAACGUUAUUGCUUUCGGAAUUCCGUUGUUCUAAGUAACAUCAACGUGUAUCACCUAUGACACAAGCAAAGAAACGUGCGAUCACGCGACACCAACUAAUAAUAUCCUCGUUCAUUAUAUCAACGCAACGAAAGUUUUAAUUAUAAGCGGAAUUCAUGUUGAUACUUCCAGUAUUCGUUAUUGUGCUCUCGUUUUGCGAUAAAUUUGUGAAAUAUUUUCUACGACAAAUUGGUGUAUCGUUACAUUGCUUUAAUUGUAAUUAAAAUUCCUGCGAACUUUUCUUUUUGUAAAAAUUCGUGUUCAUUCGUUACGUAGCCAUUUUUACAAAUCAGAGCAUCAUUUUGGAUUUCAAUAAAGUUUAAAUUAUAA